AUUGAAAUACCGGUUCUCGUACAAUCACCAAAGUUAAGGUACGCCCAGACUGGAUAGUACCUAGAUGGGUGACCGCUUUGGAAUACCAGGUGCUGUAA